rnacentral:sRNA from 1 species
AUGGCUGACAGAAAAACAGACUGGCAGGGAAGAUAACUGGGUUAUGAUUACUUAGUGUAGAUGAGAGUUUGAUAGAACAUCAGCUGCCCACUUCAGAAUCACUUGACAUGCUUCAUAAAAUGCCAGUUCUUUAGCCUUUUCUAGGAUGGACUUAAACAUUUGACAUUUUGAACAUAGGAACUCGGAAUCUACAUUUUUAAUAGGUCUCAUAGCUAAUUCGCACUUUUACUGAUAUUUGAGAACUGGGAGUCAAGGUGAUGCUCUUUUUUCAAAAGCAGUAUUGGCUAGGGUCAUAGCAGUGCUGGUUAGUGAAGCCCAAGCAUGUCAUGCUGCUAUCAACUCACAGCCUGAAUAUGCCAAUAUUUGCUUUUGGUACAUUCCACCGAGCCUCAGAGAGAUGGAAGAAGGACCCGAGUUCUGGGCAAAACUUAAUUUGGUGGCCCCAGCCAUUAAGGAGAGGAUGAUGAAGAAGGGAAGCUUGAUGCUGGGCUACCAGCCGCACCGGGGAAAGGUCAACUUCUUCCGCCAGGUGGUCAUCAGCCCUCAAGUGAGCCGGGAGGACAUGGACUUCCUCCUGGAUGAGAUAGACUUACUGGGUAAAGACAUGUAGCUGUGGCUUUGGUCCCCCAGAGGCAUAGAUCCUGUCCUGGGAGAGUUUAGAUCCAGAACAUCUUGGAGAUACACAGUAGAUUGCAGCCCUUCUGAUGAGAAAUAGGAAAUACUCCCAGUCCAGGCCCAGCAAAA